rnacentral:sRNA from 1 species
UCUUAUGUGGUGGAGACCAGUGUCUCCAGUAUAUCCUAAGCUGAUUAAACGAGUUCCAAAAGGUUUAACACUUGACGAAGCAACUGAAAUGCGUCAAAAGGGAAGGGUCUUGAUGCCCAUCCGCAAACUAGCAAAAAAUGGUGUAUAUUGGGACCUUGUGACUAAUGUCAGAGAGGCAUUUGAACAAUGUGACCUUGUGCGAAUAAAUUGCCAAGAACUAAAUACAAGUGACUAUAAAAAGAUUGGAGCAAAACUAAAGGAUCUAGUUCCAUGUAUAUUGCUUUCAUUUGAAGAUGACCACAUACUUAUGUGGAGAGGACCAAAUUGGAGGCCCUCUUUACCAAAUCCCAAA